GUAGGUGAACCUGCGGAGGGAUCAUUAACACGUUUUAAAACACGUUUUAACUAACCCACCAACCACGUGAACUAUUUACCAGGAAGAGAUGUAAAAGUCUUCUCCGAAACACCCCUUUCACCUUUCUAUAACCAUUGACUGAUCUUUUUUGUUUGUUAUUCAGCAAUGAAUAUAAUAGCAAAAAUCUAAUCAAAUAUCUAGCACAACUCUUAGCAACGGAUAUCUUGGUUCUC
rnacentral:misc_RNA from 1 species